CUAGUCAUAUCACCAAAAGGUUUAAAGGAAGCCUCACUACGCUUAGGACCACCCAAUUUUUCUCCAUUAUGUAGAAUCUCAUUGAAGUCUCCAAUCAUACACCAACUAUCCUUCCUUGUCAUGCCUAUACACAUUAAUCUUUCCCAAACUAAAUGCCUAGAUAUAAACAUUGGAUCACCAUACACACAAGAAACAAAAAAAAAAGUCAAAAGAACCAAACG
rnacentral:lncRNA from 1 species